rnacentral:rRNA from 1 species
AAAGAUUAAGCCAUGCAUGUCUAAGUACAGGCCUACCCAAGGCGAAACCGCAAAUGGCUCAUUAAAUCAGUCAUGAUUCAUUGGAUGUUGAUGAAUCCUUUACUCGGAUAACCGUGGCAAUUCUAGAGCUAAUACGUGCAACCGAGCUCCGACCCCGCCAAACCAGGCGGGGGAAGGGCGCAUUUAUUAGAAUCAUAAACCGAGCGGACUCCGGUCCGUCUCAUACGAGGUUGUGAUGACUCUGAAUAACUAUGCCGAGCGCUGAGGCCUUCGUGCCGGCGCCGUAUCUUUCGAGUGUCUGCCUUAUCAGCUUUCGAUUGUAGGCUAUACGCCUACAAUGGCUGUAACGGGUAACGGGGAAUCAGGGUUCGAUUCCGGAGAGGGAGCCUGAGAAACGGCUACCACAUCUAAGGAAGGCAGCAGGCACGCAAAUUACCCACUCCCRGYUYGGGGAGGUAGUGACGAUAAAUAACGAUGCGKGACYSUUCCGAGGCCUCGCAAUCGGAAUGAGUYCAMUCUAAACAYKUGGACGAKRAKCCAUUGGAGGGCAAGUCUGGUGCCAGCAGCCGCGGUAAUUCCAGCUCCAAUAGUUUAUACUAAAAUUGCUGCGGUUAAAAAGCUCGUAGCUUAAAUUUAGUAUAAUUACAAGACCUACCCGAGGCAUACCCCUCGGCUGUCGCGCUAACCGUCCAAUCCUUAUCUCUUGUCCCCUUCGCGGAACGGGUGUCGGCGUGUCGUGCGUGACCUGUUUUUAGUAGGGCUUACGAACCACCGCGCUACGAAAGGACCGGAGAGGUUAGGGGGUCGCGUUCGGACGUUGCAAUUACGAUUCUCGUUCUUCUUACGUGCCCCCGCCCUCCGUUCCCCCUUUCUAGCCGGCGUAACGCUCCUUCUUUUAACGUUAAAGGGUCUCCUACUCGGCGCUAAAAUCGUCUCACUCGUCACCAAGUUGUGGCUUUUGUAUGCGUUUGGAAUAAACGGGGAGCGGCACCGAGGAAGUAUUGUCCUCGCGGCGUUAGGGUCUUGUGAUGACUCUAAGUCGUCGGUUCUCACGGUGUACUCUUUACCGAGUGUCCCCGCGUGGCCGACAUAUUCACUUUGAAAAAAUAAGAGUGCUCAAAGCAGGCAAAAUUUAAAGCUUGUAUCUGAAUGCAUUGCAUGAUGCAAAAGGACCUUGGUUAAUUUUUCUCGGUUCUCUAACUCGAGGUAAUGAUUAAGAGGAACGGAAGGAGGCAUUAGUACUGCGGCGCGAGAGGUGAAAUUCAAAGACCGUCGCAAGACUACCUACUGCGAAAGCAUUUGCCUAUUACGUUUCCUUUAGUCAAGAACGAAAGUUAGAUUAUCGAAGGCGAUUAGAUACCGCCCUAGUUCUUACCUUAAACAAUGCCAACUGUCAAUCCGCUCAAGUCAAUCCCACGACUGAGCGGGGAGUCCCCGGGAAACCAAAGUUUUUUGGUUCCGGGGGAAGUAUGGUUGCAAAGCUGAAACUUAAAGGAAUUGACGGAAGGGCACCACCAGGAGUGGAGCCUGCGGCUUAAUUUGACUCAACACGGGGAAACUCACCAGGCCCAGACACUGGAAGGAUUGACAGAUUGAGAGCUCUUUCUCGAUUCGGUGGGAGGUGGUGCAUGGCCGUUCUUAGUUGGUGGAGUGAUUUGUCUGGUUGAUUCCGAUAACGACCGAAGACUCAA